ACAUCAUUGAUCCUUGAGUAUUGCUCUAGCUCGUCCACUCUUUUUUCCAGGUCCACUAUCAUCUUGUCUUUUUCCUUGUUUUCAUCACGCAGCUUCUUUACUUCCUCGACCAGACUUAGUAUUUUCUUUUGAUCUUCUCGUAUCGCAGCAACAUCUUCCGCGAGGGUUUCCAGUGACCUCCUAAGUUCGUCUGCCUCAUCUGAGGCAGCGUUUCUCUUCGGUGGCAUUUGGAAAACGUAGUUUUUGGAGCAGAGAGCAUGAUUCAGCGCUCUGCACAGUCUCCGUGACCUCCGUGCUUCAACCAACUCUCACUCCUGCUGACGCGCCAACAUGAUGAUUACAUCAUCAUUGUAUAUAAAAUUUAAAAAAAAGGAAGCAACCUAGCCAAAUUAUACACUAAUCAAUACCAUAUCAAGGAUGGAAAUGACAACUGGGAAGUAGCAAGAUCACGGAUAAUAUGUAUUUAAUGUUCUUUUUAACUCAAAACUAGUGCCUUUGGGGAAUGUUAACUGUGUUUGAUAACCAUCUGUAACUAAGUAAUGGCCUUUUGUCGCUUGCUUUGUGCUGGACGUUGUGCAUGGGGUGGGAGCGUUGUUGAACUCGUGGGGUGUACAUAGUAUUCACUGAGUGUAAUAUGUAUAUUGAUGUGUCUUUGUAAUGUUUUAUUGUUCUAAUGUUUAAUGUUUUUAUUGCAAUGUUGUCGGGGGUGGGCGCUUAUAAGCUUUUACUUCGGCCCACUCCCUUUGAGCAGAAUUUUAACUGCUCAAAUAACUAAUAAACUAAAAGUAAUUAUUUCACAGGUGCAUAAUUUAUAUUCUUCAGUGAGAUAUCGCCUGUAAUAUUAAACAAAAUGGAUGUAAACUAUAUUAGUCACUCUUACUGUAUAUAAGGGUCAAACUUGGAACUUGGUUCAGUGCUAAUGUGCUGAAUCUGAGGCGGCUCCGGUCUGUCCUUUACAUGAUGAGGUUUAUCUCUGUGUUUAACGGCUCUGACUCUCCCCCAGGACGAGACGAGGAGGAAAUGGCAGAAGGAAAAGCAAAGCCUCCAGAGGGCAGCACUGAGCCACAGCUCUAUGGGACAAAAAGCAGAUCUACAGCCUCAGUGUCCGCUCUGUCCAUGAAGAGUGACUGGUCUAAAGACCGUGAUCCAACCUUCAGUCCUGAACCUGCUCCAGACUCACGACGCAGAUCUACAGCCUCAGUGUCCGUGAAGAGUGACAGGUCUAAAGACCGUGAUCCAUGCUUCAGUCCUGAACCUGCUCCAGACUCACGAAGCAGAUCUACAGCCUCAGUGUCCAUGAAGAGUGACUGGUCUAAAGACCGUGAUCCAUGCUUCAGUCCUGAACCUGCUCCAGACUCACGAGAAACAGAGUCAGAGCAGGACGCCUGGCCUCAGUGUGGAGACACAGGCAACAGUCCUGAUCAGUGGGUUCAAGGCCCUGCACCAGGUGAGUCUGCUCAGUCUGA
ensembl:lncRNA